rnacentral:rRNA from 1 species
GGCCUAACACAUGCAAGUCGAACGCUCGUAGCAAUACGAGAGUGGCAGACGGGUGAGUAACACGUGGGAACCUUCCCUAUGGUUCGGAAUAGCUCAGGGAAACUUGGGGUAAUACCGGAUAAGCCCUUCGGGGGAAAGAUUUAUCGCCAUUGGAUGGGCCCGCGUCGGAUUAGCUAGUUGGUGGGGUAACGGCCUACCAAGGCGACGAUCCGUAGCUGGUCUGAGAGGAUGAUCAGCCACACUGGGACUGAGACACGGCCCAGACUCCUACGGGAGGCAGCAGUGGGGAAUAUUGGACAAUGGGCGCAAGCCUGAUCCAGCCAUGCCGCGUGAGUGACGAAGGUCUUCGGAUUGUAAAACUCUUUUGGCGGGGACGAUAAUGACGGUACCCGCAGAAUAAGCCCCGGCUAACUUCGUGCCAGCAGCCGCGGUAAUACGAAGGGGGCUAGC